UGGCGGACGGGUGAGUAAUGUCUGGGAAACUGCCUGAUGGAGGGGGGUAACUACUGGAAACGGUAGCUAAUACCGCAUAACGUCGCAAGACCAAAGAGGGGACCGUUCGGGCCUCUUGCCAUCGGAUGUGCCCAGAUGGGAUUAGCUAGUAGGUGGGGUAACGGCUCACCUAGGCGACGAUCCCUAGCUGGUCUGAGAGGAUGACCAGCCACACUGGAACUGAGACACGGUCCAG
rnacentral:rRNA from 1 species